UGUGUAGGCGGUUGUUUAAGUUUGGUGUGAAAUCUCCCGGCUCAACUGGGAGGGUGCGCCGAAUACUGAAUGACUUGGAGUGCGGGAGAGGAAAGUGGAAUUCCUGGUGUAGCGGUGAAAUGCGUAGAUAUCAGGAGGAACACCGGUGGUGUAGACGGCUUUCUGGACCGUAACUGACGCUGAGACACGAAAGCGUGGGUAGCAAACAGGAUUAGAUACCCUGGUAGUCCACGCCCUAAACGAUGCAUAUUUGGUGUGGGUCAUUCAGUUGAUCCGUGCCGGAGCUAACGCGUUAAAUAUGCCGCCUGGGGAGUACAGUCGCAAGGCUGAA
rnacentral:rRNA from 1 species